UUAAGCAUAUCAAUAAGCGGAGGAAAAGAAACCAACAGGGAUUGCCCCAGUAACGGCGAGUGAAGCGGCAACAGCUCAAAUUUGAAAUCUGGCUCUCGGGCCCGAGUUGUAAUUUGUAGAGGAUGCUUUUGGUGAGGUGCCUUCCGAGUUCCCUGGAACGGGACGCCAUAGAGGGUGAGAGCCCCGUCUGGUUGGACACCGACCCUCUGUAAAGCUCCUUCGACGAGUCGAGUAGUUUGGGAAUGCUGCUCUAAAUGGGAGGUAUAUGUCUUCUAAAGCUAAAUACCGGCCAGAGACCGAUAGCGCACAAGUAGAGUGAUCGAAAGAUGAAAAGAACUUUGAAAAGAGAGUUAAAAAGUACGUGAAAUUGUUGAAAGGGAAGCGCUUGUGACCAGACUUGGGCUUGGUUGAUCAUCCGGGGUUCUCCCCGGUGCACUCUUCCGGCCCAGGCCAGCAUCAGUUCGCCCUGGGGGACAAAGGCUUCGGGAAUGUGGCUCUCUCCGGGGAGUGUUAUAGCCCGCUGCGUAAUACCCUGUGGCGGACUGAGGUUCGCGCAUUCGCAAGGAUGCUGGCGUAAUGGUCAUCAGUGACCCGUCUUGAAACACGGACCAAGGAGUCGUCUUCGUAUGCGAGUGUUCGGGUGUCAAACCCCUACGCGAAAUGAAAGUGAACGCAGGUGAGAGCUUCGGCGCAUCAUCGACCGAUCCUGAUGUUAUCGGAUGGAUUUGAGUAAGAGCAUACGGGGCCGGACCCGAAAGAAGGUGAACUAUGCCUGUGUAGGGUGAAGCCAGAGGAAACUCUGGUGGAGGCUCGCAGCGGUUCUGACGUGCAAAUCGAUCGUCAAACAUGGGCAUGGGGCGAAAGA
rnacentral:rRNA from 1 species